AUCCUUCAAUGUGAUACAAUCCUUCGUGGUAUGCCCCAUAUUCUGAUGAUAUCGGCAUGCUUGCGCUCAUCAGCUCCUCUAGGUGUUGGCGAUCGGGUAACUGUCAGCAAAUCAGCCCUCAGUGCUUCCUCCAUAACUCUUACCCGGGGAGCGUUUAACGGCGUAUAAUGAACAUAUUGUGGAAUUUUGGGAGUAUCCAUGCCUCUGUGCCCAUUCCCACCACCAUCUCCCCCGAACAACCUCUUCUCUCCCCUCCUCUCGUGACUAAAUUUAGCUGGUGGACCUGUUUCUUCUCGCU
rnacentral:lncRNA from 1 species